rnacentral:rRNA from 1 species
AAACGUAGGGGGCAAGCGUUGUCCGGAAUUACUGGGUGUAAAGGGCGCGUAGGCGGUUUCUUAAGUCAGGUUUGAAAGAUCGAGGCUUAACUUCGAGUGUGUACUUGAAACUGGGGAGCUUGAGUGAUGGAGAGGAAAGUGGAAUUCCCGGUGUAGCGGGGAAAUGCGUAGAUAUCGGGAGGAACACCAGUGGCGAAGGCGGCUUUCUGGCCCACAACUGACGCUGAGGCGCGAAAGCUGGGGGAGCAAACAGGAUUAGAUACCCUGGUAGUCCCAGCUGUAAACGAUGGAUACUAGGUGUGGGGGGAUCGACCCCCUCCGUGCCGCAGUUAACGCAAUAAGUAUCCCACCUGGGGAGUACGGCCGCAAGGCUGAAACUCAAAGGAAUUGACGGGG